AAUAUAAAAAUUAUGUCGCUCUUAUCGAGAGCUCUUAUUGUACUGAACUAUUUCCAGAGAACGACCAUCGUCUAUUUACAAUUUUAUUAUAUGUAAUAUAAUAUGCAUUCACAAUUUAGAGUAUUAAUCAAUAAUGCACACUAUUUGUCGUCUCUAUUCAACGUAUUCGAUGGCGGCGUGCGGCAAGGAGAGCAGGGUGCGCGGCAGGGCGGGCGCCGCCUAAAAUAGCACGCACGUGCCGCUCGGCAUCUGCCCACGCGCAGCCAAGAUGGCGGUCCGUGCGUGUGUGUGCCGCGUACGCCCUGUACGUGUUUGUACGUGUACACAACUGAUGCAAGCGAUUGUGCGACCUCGUUGGUGAGGUGUCCAUGUGCGACGGUAGCCGCUUUCCAGGGGCCAAACGAGCAUGCGACUCACUUGAUGGUAAGUGACUACCGCCCCCCAUAAGCAUCCGCUACACCAGAGGAAUCGCAACACCAGUGAAUACAGGAAACUCCAUUAAAUGCUACGAGUACUAUCGAUUUUCUAACUUUCUACGAAAUGUUUGACGUCACCGCUCGCAGUUGCUACUUCUUUUGGAAACCCUACACCCGGGCUCGGCUGUUUAAAACUAAUCUUCUUUUUUGUUUCAUAUGUAUAAUAAAAUAAUACUUUUUUUUAUAAAGAAAAAUGUUAAAUAAAUGUAUAACAAAAUAAAGA